UACAAAAUGGCGAGCAGUGAUCGCAUGGAAAAGGUCGACAUGACCAAGGAGUUCAGCCGGCUAAAAGACUCCGACAAGUACUUUAUUCGUAAAUUAGAAAAGAUGAAUCUCGAGAGGGCAAAAGAUAUGAGAGGUCUGCGCCGGCGGAACCUGCUUACGGGUGCGUUAUUAGGCGGGAGCGUGGUUGGAAUCUACUUCUAUUCAAUGUAUGCUGUCAGACAAGAAAAGUUCCUGGAAGGAUUUGAUGUGGUGCCUGCUGACAAGAAAUAGGAGACAUGUACUGAAUUUCUGUGUCAUUGUGCUAACCUGGUCCUGUGUCAGUUGUGUUAGGACGUGCAAUCAUAUCAGUGGUGGCAAUUGGUAAAAUGAAGACACAACUGGCCUGUAAUUUGGCCUUUGGGAGUCAGAGACUUGAUUUGACACAAGGAAUUGCAGUAAAUUAUACAGUUGUUUUUGUAUGAUGGGUUGUAAUCUUGAAUAGAGUUCACUGAGAAGACCUUGAAUGAAGUUCAGUGAGAAGACUUUAUUGUGAAAGAACAAUCAUGGCCGUUCAAAGCUGUGUAGCUUCAUGCUUGGAAAUAACUUUAGUGAAUAGAUUGUUAUGUGGUACCAUAAUCACAAAUAAAAGGCCUUGUUCAGAGAAUAUCAUUGCUGGUGAUGAAAAAUAUGUGCAGCCUCCUUUUGAUGGAGUCGCAACCAAGGGCCACUAGGUUUAAAUUUGAUGGCCAAUGGUCACUAUUUCUUAUUCUAUGAGCCAUUUUAGAAUUGAAGAUUAAUACCAUGCUGUAGGUACUUGGUUGUCUAAUUAAGAUCGCUGGGGUAGACCUCAAAUUGCAUCCAAAUCCUUUACACUUCUGGUCUACCCCAGCAGUCAAACUAGACAACCAAGGACUGCUAGCUUUGUAUUUAUUCCUCAAAUGAAAUCUUAGAGACUAUGUUUGCUUUCAGUACCGGUGUCUUGGGUAGGAGAGUUCACAUAUUUUGUUCAUGCUCAGUCCCUAUGGUUUAGUCCAAUAUGAACAACCGAUGCAACUUCUCUGACUAAUGAAUUUUUCAAAAAAUGGAGUAUGCAGUGACUUUGUAAAUAAAUUGUUGAUAUUUUACUUGUCUA